rnacentral:rRNA from 1 species
GGGGAAUUUUGGACAAUGGGGGCAACCCUGAUCCAGCCAUGCCGCGUGAGUGAAGAAGGCCUUCGGGUUGUAAAGCUCUUUCGGCCGGGAAAAAAACGCCUCUCCUAAUACGGGGGGUGGAUGAUGGUACCGGACUAAGAAGCACCGGCUAACUACGUGCCAGCAGCCGCGGUAAUACGUAGGGUGCGAGCGUUAAUCGGAAUUACUGGGCGUAAAGCGUGCGCAGGCGGUUUUUUAAGACAGGCGUGAAAUCCCCGGGCUUAACCUGGGAACUGCGCUUGUGACUGGAAGGCUAGAGUACGGCAGAGGGGGGUGGAAUUCCACGUGUAGCAGUGAAAUGCGUAGAGAUGUGGAGGAACACCGAUGGCGAAGGCAGCCCCCUGGGCCGAUACUGACGCUCAUGCACGAAAGCGUGGGGAGCAAAC